GAUAGAAUGGCCGAUUAGGUAUUAAACUGUAAAUUUAAUUAUGAAGUUGUAUAUAUUUCUUCUGUUA
rnacentral:tRNA from 1 species